rnacentral:lncRNA from 1 species
GGAUAAACUGAAAGUACUUUACAAAUGGAUUUUGACAAAGGAAGCAUCCAACAUAUUCAGGCAUAGCCCAAAUGUGGACGUACAAGGAAGUUUGCGUGUCUCUUCCCUGUUUUAUACCAAAAAGGAAGUUUCCUCAAAUCUCAUGACCAUUCAGGAAUUUAUACAGCUAUCAAGUGUGGACACUUCAAUUGACAGGCAAUAAAAUGGGGCCUGCUUUUGAUAAUUGAACAUGAAGAAAAAGGGGGCAAAGGAAUUUCAAAUGCAAUUUAAUUCAUCUUUCCCCCUUCAAACAGUACAAGGUGACUUGUACAACCCCAAAUUCAAAAUUCAACUCGUUUUUAUAUCCAGGUGACUUUUGAAGCAGGAGGAGACUAUUGAUAAAGCUAGCAGCCACAAGUCAAAGUAGGGAUAAACCAAGAAUAAAACAAAUGAUAAAAGAUCCGGCUACGAUAGAACAUGUGAAAAUUGAAAUAACUAUAUCCUGCAGCAAUAUUUCUUUAUAUAAACAUCUGAUCCAGCAACUAGUAAUACAAAGUUCAUAAGAACAAUAAAUACGCCCAGCAAGAUGUGGGCUGACAAUUAAGAACUUGAGAAGCCUUGAAAAUAACAAAAUCACCAUAGUGAAACACCUUAUAGAAGCAAUUUCAAGUGUUAACAUGAGGCCCUUCAAGAAAAAACUGACGACAAACUAUUUGCAGACCAAGGAAUUGAAGAAUAAAAUUCAUAUCAAUACACAGACAAACAUCAUGUUCUACAAUACAUUCAGCAGUUCUAAUGGUAAAGCUAGAUAAUACAAAAUGCAAUAAUAUUCUACCAACACAUAAACAAAGGGAUAAAUAACAAUGGAUUUUGGGAAAGGGAAAACUUA